rnacentral:lncRNA from 1 species
GAAUGUGAUAUGACUAUUGUUUCUCCCUUUUCUAUAUAUAUUUUCUUCAAAUAUUACAUCAACCCGUUUUUAUAGCAUUGUUAAUGGUAUAUUUUCUAUCUAAUUUUCUACGAUGAAUGUUUAAUUAUUUUGAGAACAAAAUUAAUGUAAGUUUGCGGGUGGCAAUGAACAUUACCCUUUCCUGGAUCAUGAUAUCUAUAUCUUUAACGGGAAGCUUAAUUCCAAAAUUUAUGACAAAAGAGAUGAUUUUUCGUUUCCUAUUGUCAAUUAUCCAUUGUUUGAUGGUAACGUUCCUUUUUCACCAUCUUAUGGUGUUUGUAUAUAUCUCAACUUGUCCGAUUCGCUCGUGUAACGUAUUUGAUUUCAACGAAAGAAAUCUCUGUAUUACUGAAAAGUUAUUACUCCAGGGUUUUUCGAUAUCACAAACUAGUCUACAUAAGUGUAAAUUAGUAUGCUGAUCAGAGCUGGAACCGCUUGGGGUUUUGGAGCCUCUGGCCUUUGUUAGUCUUGUAUAUCUUUAAUUUUACUUCAUUUAUAUGUUUUGGAGUUAAGUG